UCAUUUAUUUCUUAUGUUUUGCAGCUAAGACGGACCAUGAGAAAUCCUGGGAGCUCAGGAAGGAAGAAGCCUCCUAGAAGAAAAGACAGGGAGCUGGUGGGGAAGACUAGAAGUCAGGUUAAUAUGGCUGCAGCACAGCAUCAUCAUUUCUCAGGAUUGCCCUACUCACCCUACAUCAUGGUUGACUCUUCAAGACCACUGAUGGGUUCCUGGCCACCUCCUCCAUCAGGCUGUCUGUCACCUGGGAGCUCAACCAUUCCCAUCAGCUAAAGGUAUUCUGAGACCUCUGACAACUCCUCGACUCCAGUGUCCACUAGGACCUUAGCCACCUUCUUCAGAUGAUAAUUUUUGGGGACCACAGACACCUACACAUGAAUGUCUUCUGGCACCUCUACUACCUUCCUCAGCCAAUGGUUUUCUGAGCUCAUACACAAAGCCACCCGAAUGCUUCUGGUACCUCUGCCACCUUCUCCAGAUGAUGAGUUCUUGAGACCACAGACACCAAUACAUGAGUGUCUUCUGUGACCUCUGCCACCUUUAGCCAAUGAUUUUCUGAGCCCAUACACAGCUCCACCCAAGUAUCUUCUGGCACCUUUACCACCUUCUCCAGAUGAUAAUCUUUAGAGACCACAGACACCACCACUCCAGUGUCUUCUGGUACUGAUGCCAUCAUCUCCAGCUGAUGAUUUUCUGAGACCACACACAUCUUCUAUCCAGUGUCCUCUGGGAUCUCAACCACUUUCUCCAACUGAUAAUUUUUUGAGAUUACAGGUAGCUCCACUUUUUGAGUGUCCCCUGGGACCUCAACUACCUAUUUCAAUAGAGUGUCUUCUGGUAUCUCUUCACCUUCUUGAUGAUUUUUUGUGACCACAGACACUUGCACCUGAGUGUACACUAGUACCUCUACCACUGUCUCCAUCUGAGGAUGUUCUAAGACCUCACACAACUCCACUUGAGUGUUCUCUGAUAUCUUUACCACCACCUCCAGCUGAAGAUUUUCUGAGACCACACACAACUCCACCCAAGUUAAAUCCGUUACCUGUAUCAUCUUGUUCAGCUAAUGAUUUUCUGAGACCACAGGCAACUCCACCACUUUAAAGUUUUCUGUCACCUCAACCUCCUAUUUCACUCAUGUGUCCUCUGGGACUUCAGCCACCUACUUCACUCGAGGGUCCUGUGCCACCUUAACCACCUUCUCCAAGUGAAGAUUCUCUGAGACCAGUCACCUCCUCCAGUCAAGUGCUCUCUGGUACCUCCACCAUCUUAUCCAGCUGGUGGUCUUCUGAAACUGCAGACACCUCCAGCAAUCAAG
rnacentral:lncRNA from 1 species